GCAUAUCAAUAAGCGGAGGAAAAGAAACCAACAGGGAUUGCCCUAGUAACGGCGAGUGAAGCGGCAAAAGCUCAAAUUUGAAAUCUGGCUCUCUAUGGGAGUCCGAGUUGUAAUUUGCAGAGGGUGCUUUGGUGUCGGCAGCGGUCUAAGUUCCUUGGAACAGGACGUCACAGAGGGUGAGAAUCCCGUACGUGGUCGCUUGCCUUCGCCGUGUAAAGCCCCUUCGACGAGUCGAGUUGUUUGGGAAUGCAGCUCUAAAUGGGAGGUAAAUUUCUCCUAAAGCUAAAUACUGGCCAGAGACCGAUAGCGCACAAGUAGAGUGAUCGAAAGAUGAAAAGCACUUUGGAAAGAGAGUCAAAUAGCACGUGAAAUUGUUGAAAGGGAAGCGCUUGCAGCCAGACUUGCCCGCGGUUGUUUUCUUCCGCAGGCAGGCCAGCAUCAGUUUGGGCGAUCGGAUAAAGGCCUCUGUCACGUAUCUCCCUUCGGGGUGACCUUAUAGGGGAGGCGCAAUGCGAUCAGCCCGGACUGAGGUCCGCGCAUCUGCUAGGAUGCUGGCGUAAUGGCUGUAAGCGGCCCGUCUUGAAACACGGACCAAGGAGUCUAACAUCUAUGCGAGUGUUUGGGUGUCAAGCCCAGACGCGUAAUGAAAGUGAACGGAGGUGGGAACCCUCUCGGGGGUGCACCAUCGACCGAUCCUGAAGUCUUCGGAUGGAUUUGAGUAAGAGCAUGGCUGUUGGGACCCGAAAGAUGGUGAACUAUGCUUGAAUAGGGUGAAGCCAGAGGAAACUCUGGUGGAGGCUCGCAGCGGUUCUGACGUGCAAAUCGAUCGUCAAAUUUGGGCAUAGGGGCGAAAGACUAAUCGAACUAUCUAGUAGCUGGUUCCUGCCGAUUU
rnacentral:rRNA from 1 species